rnacentral:tRNA from 15 species
UGCAUGGCAAUGUCCGAUGCCAUGGACGACGGCCCGAUGAUCUAACUAGACCAUCUUUCUCAGUAGUUGACUUGGUUUCAUGUCAGACU